UAAGUAAAGCAUCAAUAUUUUUAAAAAGCUCUCCUGGUGCUUCUAAAGUUCACCCAGGGAAGAGACCAACAGGCUCAGCUAUGGCUGCCGCGGAGGGACAGAAAGGGUGGGACACCCUGGGCAAAGGGGUGUUAGAUCCUCCACACACCUCCCUUCAAGGCCGUGCAAAUGCCUAGCACCAGGGGACAGGGGACCGGGGACUGUGGUGUAGACUCCGGGCAAGUGUACCUGGCUCUGAAGGAGAAGGGUGUCCCUGCAAAGCUUGGCCUCCUGGAGGCAGAGUGGGGGUCCCUGCUGCUCAGAUGCCCAGAGCGUCCCAGGGGAGGGAGCGCAGGAGCAGCCUGGGCCUCGUGCCUUUGCCGCCAUUCUUCCCGGUCGCGUCCCCACCACCGUCUUCGCCCGCUAGACCCUCCCUGCUCCCCAAGACUCCGCCUGCACGGUACCUCUUGUUCAGUCAACACGCAAAGACACAGCACCCACCGUGCGCCCGGCCCUGGUUUCUGGGAACGGGAAGACGAAGACAACUGGGGCCCACCUGAAGCUGCUCACAGACCAGGGGUGACACCAGGAAUCACACUCUCCUUAUAGUGGGCUCCCCCUUCUUCUCCACAGAGCAACCAGAGGGAUUGUAAAAGGCGCGUCUUCCUCCUCUCCUGCCGGUUCCCGAAUCUCUUCUUCGAGCAUGCUGCCGGCAAACGAAACAAGCGACCGCGCCAGUCUCCCAGUUGGUUCCCCACUGAUUCCUUCUGGAUGGAUGGAUGGAUGGACAAAAUUGAGUUAUGAGAGUGAGAACACUGAGGAUCAGAGCAUGGAACACGGUGAGCCCGUCAAGGAUCUAUGAGUGAUGAGAGUCAAAGAAACUGUCGGCUAGUGGACUUCAGAGCCCACUGGGCACACACCCUCGGCAGACACAUCUGAUCAAAGGGACAGUACCCAGCAGACAGGGACAGUGACGUGGAUCACGGAUCCAGCCUCCAGCAGACGAGCCCAUUACCUGCGCGGUCAGACCGCCCACACGCCAGGGGCCGUCCCCCACGUUGCUCCCGCCUACAGAGACAGGCCCAGGCCACACGUGCAUCUGGGGUUUUUUUGUUGUUGGUUUGGUGUUUGAAACUUUUAUUAUGAAAUAUGUGAAUGUGUACCUUGUAUAUAACCCUUUGAAAGAACAGUAAUAAAAUAGUCACGUACACAUCAUCCAGCUUAAGAAAUAGAAUGAUACCAGUAACUUCGAAGCUCCCUGAGUUUUCUUCCUUCGUUGUAUUUCCCUCCAUUCCCCCAGAAAUAACCACUAUUUGAAAAAUGUGUAUUAACCAUUUCCUUGUAAUGUGUGUA